rnacentral:rRNA from 1 species
GAUGAACGCUGGCGGCGUGCCUAAUACAUGCAAGUCGAGCGAACGGACGAGAAGCUUGCUACUCUGAUGUUAGCGGCGGACGGGAGAGUAAAACGUGGAUACCCUACCUUUAAGACUGGGAUCACUACGGGAAACCGGUGCUAAUACCGGAUAAUAUUUUGAACCGCAUGGUUCAAAAGUGAAAGACGGUCUUGCGGUCACUUAUAGAUGGAUCCGCGCUGCAUUAGCUAGUUGGUAAGGUAACGGCUUACCAAGGCAACGAUGCAUAGCCGACCUGAGAGACGGAUCGGCCACACUGGAACUGGGACACGGUCAAGACUCCUACGGGAGGCAGCAGUAGGGAAUCUUCCGCAAUGGGCGAAAGCCUGACGGAGCAGCGCCGCGUGAGUGAUGACGGUCUUGGGAUCGUAAAAAUCUGUUAUUAGGGAAGAACAUAUGUGUAAGUAACUGUGCACAUCGUGACGGUACCUAAUCAGAAAGCCACGGCUAACUACGUG